UACGGAGGGUGCAAGCGUUAUCCGGAUUUACUGGGUUUAAAGGGUGUGUAGGCGGACUUUUAAGUCAGCGGUGAAAUCUCCGGGCUCAACCCGGAAACUGCCAUUGAUACUAUUGGUCUUGAAUAUUGUGGAGGUGGGCGGAACGGGUCAUGUAGCGGUGAAAUGCUUAGAGAUGACCCGGAACACCGAUUGCGAAGGCAGCCCACUACGCAAUGAUUGACG
rnacentral:rRNA from 1 species